UUGAACCCAUGGUUGCUUUACCACUGAGCCACAUCUCCACCCCUUUUUAUUUUUUUAUUUUGAGAUAGGUUCUUGCAAAGUUGCUUAGAGCCAUGCUAACUUUCUGAGCUUGGCCUCAAACUGUGAUCUUCUUACCUCAGCCUCCAGAGACACUGGACUAUAGGCAUAUGUCGCUGUGCUUGGUUAAGGGCCUUUGCAUUUUCACGCUUUCUGCCCAAGGACUUUUCCUCCUCUCCCUGGAAAAUGCUGACCACUGGCCUUUCCAGCCUCAGCAUUUGUCACUUCCCCAGGAACAGCAUCCUUGACCUUUCCCCCAGUAUCUUUCAAAACAUCUCCUACUCUGUCACAUGCUGCUUACUAAUGAUGUACCCCUUAUACAUCCGUGUAGUUGUCUAAUAUCAACUCAUCUUUGAACUCUCAGUGACUUGAAAGCUGGCUUUGCCAUUGCUGCUUACCUGGCACUUGGCACAGUACCUAGCACUGGGAAAUAAAUGUUUGUUCCUUUUAUUUGGUAGUGAGGAUUGAACCCAGGGGCACUCUACCAAUGAACUACAUUCCCAGCUCUUUUCAUUUUUUGAGACAGAGUCUCACUAAGUUGCCCAGGCUGGCCUACAACUUGCAGUCCUCUGCCUCAGCCUCUGGAGUUGCUGGGAUUACAGGCAUGGGCCACAGCACCCAGCUAAUAUUUGUUACUUGAUCAGUCAGAUGUGUCCCUUGUUGUGACCACGAGAUCCGAUGGAGGCAUCCCUGUGUGGGUUCCUUGAGCAAGUGAUCAUUACAGGCGAUUUUGCUUAUGCCUGGUUAAGUACCUUGCAGUCUCCUGAAGGGUGAAAAAAAAGUUCAGGAGACAGGUGAGGAUGUACCUGCGAGGAAGCCUCAGGGGACUUCUAGAGCAAUGGCAUGUCCUGUCCUUGAUCUAGGUGGUGGUGACAUGUGAAAACUUGUGAAGUGUAUAAGUGUUAUGUCUCAAUUGCAAAAAUUAUAGGCAGCAGUACAGUGCUCAGGUCAUCUGAGCUCUGGACUUGUUAGUUGCUGAGCAGGCUGAACAAAUGUUAGCUAAAGGGUGGGCUGAACACUUGACCCUCACCCAUCUGUUUCCUGAUGGCUUGUUUGCAUCAAGGCUGAACACUCAACCCCACUCAAGGCUGAACACUGGACUCCCACCUCUUUGGUGCAAAGGAAACCCACAUCUGAUCCCUGACCCAUCUGCUUGAAGGCAGAAGAUGACACCCUUAGCAACUACUGUAUGAUCCAAUCACUGUACGCCAAUAAGGCAGCUUGCAGACCUAAAGACCCCAUUAAUUUUGGCUAUAAAAACUCUCUCCUGCCGGGCCCCCCCUCUCUUUCUCUCUCUUUAUUCUCUCUCUCCCUCUGUCUCUUUUUUCUCUUCUUUCCUUGUUAAUCAGACACCACAGCAAUAAAGAUCUCUUGGUCUCUCUAAGUGUCGUGGUCACUUUCCUUUCAUCCAGUACUGAAACCCAGGAAGAGGGUGAAAACCCACUUUUGGGUCCUUCUUCCUUCGGACGUGCCAGUCACCAGAUGACCUGAACCCAUUUUCUUGACCUCCAGAACUACAUCCACCACCGACCUUCGAUUGAAGUUCCUGCAAGAUCAGAUACACAAAUUCACCAACCAGUCGGUCAAUCAAUUACUCCUUCAAGACCAGCAAUCCCUGAUACCCAAGAUGAAGACCUAUGACUCAUGACCAACUCCUCCAGCUCCAGAGACUCUGCCCCAUUUAAAAUUCUCCCUGACCCCUUUUCCAAUUUUUACAACCCCUCUUUCACUUCCCAGGAAUGAGAACUACUCUCUAGCAGGUCCACUGCACAUGUUCUGUCUGCUGUACAGUAUCCCCACAAGGAAGCAUCAAACCUAAACUCCUCACGCAUCAGAUGAGGAGCUACCAGCCAGGUGAAGACUGGCAGAUCAACUUCACUCACAUGACUAGGCACAAAAAACUUUGCUACCCACUUACUUUCAUUGAUACUUUUUCAGGUCGGAUAGAAGCUUUCCCUACCUCCAGGGAAAGUGCUGACACUGUCCCUCCAUCCUCAUUGAGCAGAUCAUUCCCAGGUUUGGACUUUCCACCUCCAUCCAGUCAGAUGAUGGUCAAGCCUUCACUUCUCAGGUUGUUCAAUUAUUCUCCAAAGGCCUCAACAUCACUUGGAGGCUCCACAUCCCCUACCGAGUCCAGUCCUCGGGUAAGGUUGAGAGAGUUAACAGCAUUCUCAAGGAUCACCUCACUAAACUUGCUAUUGAACCCAGGCUCUCCUGGCCCAAUCUCCUGCCAUUCACCCUCACUGGAAUUUGGGCAGCCCCUAGAGCUCCCUCAGGCCCCUUGGAACAACUCUAUGGGUGCACUUUUUAACCAACCAAAGCUUUCCAAUCACUACUCCUCCCCUUGUGUCCUAUUUGCCCUAUCACACGUCUACACAAACUCCUAAGGGAACAUGUAAUCUGGUACCUCCUGUGCCACUCAUUGCCUAAAUCCCAGUGCAACCACAAACUGAAUUGGACCCUCUCAACAGGGUGACUCAGUCUUACUUCACGAAUUGCAUCCUCGAUUGUUGGAAACUCACUGGACAGGACCCCAUACAGUCAUACUUACUACCCCAACAGUAGCCAAGCUUUUGGGUCACUAUCCCUGGUACCAUGUCUCCCGCCUUAAAAAGACACCUGUUCCAAAUGUCCCAUUCUGGACUUCCACCAUGCUCACCAAUCACAAAAUUUCUUGCCAAUCCUCUCCUUCUUUUACUAAUCAUUAAUCUCUCUCAAGCUUCUAUCUCAACCCAUAGAUGGCACUUCUAUAUCCAAGCAAUAUAGCACCAGGAUGGCAUCACCCACUCUCAGUUUAUGGGUCAAAGUGAUUGCCCUUCCACUGGCUGCAAUCAGGUCAUCACCUUAACAUUACUGGAUUCAACCAAACCACCUCUGAUAUUUCCUAGAGUCCUCACCAGAGGACCAAUGGCUGAUACCAAGGAUCUCCACUGCUCAACCUAUGGCUUCAAGGAACCUUUAUGGACUUUGCCCUUUCCUAGAUAACUGUCCAUAGCCAGUGUAUGUUAUUUCUAGCUGCUCUGGUAUUCCCAAGCUUUUCCCUGAACAUUCCCCUGCUCUCCCAGGUAGGCCCCACGCUGCCCCCUCUCAGCAGGAAGUAGCCAGUUUGAAUUACACCAUCCCCAAGCCACUUAGAAAAACAAAAAGGGAGAAAUGUUAGUUGCAGAGCAGGCAGAACAAAUGUUAGCUGCAAUGUGGGCUGAACACUGGACCCUCACCCGUCUGGUUUCUUAUGACUUGUUUGCCUCAAGAAUGAACACUCAAGCCCACUCAAGACUGAACAUUCAACCCCCACCAGUCUGGUGCAAAGGAAGCACACAUCUGACCCCUGACCUGUCUGCCUGAAGGCAGAAGAUGACACCCUUAGCAACUACUGUAUGAUCCAAUCACUAUACACCAACUAGGCAGUUUGCAGACCCAGAGACCCCAUUAGAUUUUGGCUAUAGCAACUCUCUCCUGCUGGACCUUCCUCUGUUGCUCUCUCUUUCUUCUCUCUCUCUCUAUUUUCUCUUCCUUCCUUUUUAAUCAGACACCAUCACAAUAAAGAUCUCUUUGUUGCUCUGA